UUAAGGAAUUUAUUUCACAGAUUUCAAACCUUGUGGGAUUCGAGAGUUGGUGAAUACUUGACAGUCUAUGGGAAAGCUCAGAAUGACUUCUAAAAAAGAAGUAAGCAGUACACUUACUUGGUUGGUAAUAUGGCAUGCGUUCAAGUUGAGAGGUAACCCUAUAAUUCUAUGCAAGUAUAAGAAUGCCUAAGUGAAGAGAGAAAUACAGAUGUGCUAUUAUGAAAUUUGGGGUUAAAUGUAAGUCUUUUCUCAAUAGUAGUUUAAAUUCCUUAAAAAUUGAACACAUAAUUUAAAUUGUUUCCUUGCAAAACUCAUUUAGCUAAUGUCUCAUUAAGGCUCUUUAUUUUAAGGGGCCAAUCUUAAAUUAUAGAAAACAAUGUUCCAUACUGAACUGAGUCAAAUAAGCAUGAUUAUAAUAAUUAACAUAUACAGCUCUUUU
rnacentral:sRNA from 1 species